GCACGUGCAGGUAUGCAAGAAGUACAUUUUCUUCCUUUCAAUCCAACUGAUAAGAGGACUGCAUUGACCUAUAUUGAUCAAGAUGGUAAAAUGUAUAGAGUAAGCAAAGGUGCACUAAACAGAUCCUACACCUUGCCCACAACAAAUCAGACAUCGAACACAGAGUUCAUGCAGUGAUUGAUAAGUUUGCAGAACGCGGUCUGCGAUCUCUUGCUGUAGCAUACCAGGAAGUUCCCGAUGGAAGGAAAGAAAGUGCUGCAGGCCCAUGGCAGUUUAUUGGCCUUAUGCCCCUCUUUGACCCACCUAGACAUGAUAGUGCCGAAACAAUACGGAGGGCACUAAAUCUCAGAGUAAAUGUCAAAAUGA